GAUGGACGCUGGCGGCGUGCCUAAUACAUGCAAGUCGAGCGAACAGACGAGGAGCUUGCUCCUCUGACGUUAGCGGCGGACGGGUGAGUAACACGUGGAUAACCUACCUAUAAGACUGGGAUAACUUCGGGAAACCGGAGCUAAUACCGGAUAAUAUAUUGAACCGCAUGGUUCAAUAGUGAAAGACGGUUUUGCUGUCACUUAUAGAUGGAUCCGCGCCGCAUUAGCUAGUUGGUAAGGUAACGGCUUACCAAGGCAACGAUGCGUAGCCGACCUGAGAGGGUGGUGGGCCACACUGGAGCGGGACCGGGCACAGGCCGCCUGCGGGAGGGACCAGAAGGGUAUGUGCGGCAAGGGGGGAGAGCAUGACAGAGCAGGGCGGAGUGAGAUAUAGAGACUUCGGGAGCGUAAAGCCGUUUUUUGGGGGAAAAAAAGAUUUGGAAUGUAAUGAGCCGUUAUUGACGGUACCUAAUAAAAAAGCACCGGCUAACUACGUG
rnacentral:rRNA from 1 species